GGAUUAGAUACCCUGGUAGUCCACGCCGUAAACGAUGUCUGCUAGCCGUUGGCGACUUUAAGUUGCUAGUGGCGCAGCUAACGCGAUAAGCAGACCGCCUGGGGAGUACGGCCGCAAGGUUAAAACUCAAAUGAAUUGACGGGGGCCCGCACAAGCGGUGGAGCAUGUGGUUUAAUUCGAUGCAACGCGAAGAACCUUACCAGGCCUUGACAUUCAGAGAAGUCGCUAGAGAUAGCUUCGUGCCUUCGGGAACUCUGGGACAGGUGCUGCAUGGCUGUCGUCAGCUCGUGCCG
rnacentral:rRNA from 1 species